CGGGAAAGGCCCUGGCAGGCAGCAUAGGCCUGGGCUCCAGGGCCUUUGAGAGUGGGCCUAGGGGAGGGACCUCAGGCUGCUGAAGUGCCUCACCUGGGCCUCCUGCCAUCUGGUGGCAUCUCUGGCACCCUCUGUGGCUAAAGAUGCCAACACAGGCCUGGGCCGUGGACCCCCUUCCCAUACACACAUCACGCUUCCCACACAGGCUCUUACCCAGCCAAUGCACACUGCAUCUCCCAGUCGAGAGGCACCUUCACUGCCAUCUACUCCCACCUUCUUCCUGAUGCUUGAAAUCUGUCCGUGAUCCCAGGUCAGUGAUUGCUCGAGGCUGUGACAGGGACACUCUCAGACAGCAGCCCACUGCUCUUCUGGACUUCCCUAUCUCCAAGUCCAGUCACCUACAGGACACCUGCCCUUACAUGGCCUAGAAGUGACUGAACUCAUAUUCAUGCCCCUCAUACCAGCUCCUCCCCAUUGCCCACCAUGACCCUCCCAGUCCUAAAACUCACUGCAAAGGUAGAUUAAUUUUUAACUGCUUUCUCUCCUUCACCAUCCUUAUGUCUGAUCUCUUAUCAAAUUCUUCCCUUUGUUGCUUUUAUUUCAAAAGAUAUUGUUUGUUCAUUACUUUUCUCCUUCACCCUUUCCCCUCCAGCCCCAUAGAGUCCACCUUUGGCCCAAAUUCUCACAGCAUCUGCCACACUGUCCUUUCUUUUUCCUUCCUCCUACACACCCUGCUGGAAUAAUCUUUCUCAAACAUCAUUUAUUGUGUAUGUUAUCAACUUCAGACUCCUCAACCAAGCACAGUGAGUACACUAGCUAACCUGUGUACUCUCUGUGAUGGGACCUGAGUUCAUUCAUGGCAUGUCCAGGCCACGGGGUUUAGUGCAGUGCCUCCUGCACAGCAGUAGGGCAGCAAAUGUUCCUCGUGACCCAUUCAUUUGGUGGUGUUCCCUUUCCAUCCUUCCUAUUCUCUCUCCUGCCUUGGUCUCCCCAGUCCCAUCAAGCCUAUUGGCUUACUGGUGCUCACUGGGGCCCUUUUGUUUGAAGUGCCACUAUUUUUCAUUUCCCCAAAAUCUUUGGUGGGGGGCGGGGGGUGGUGGCUGGUGGGGAAGGGAGAGGCUGACAUCCAAGUUAAUAUCAGGGAGGUUGUGGCAAAUACCAACUGCAAAACCUUGGGUGCAGAGUAGAAUGAGGGCAGAUGCCUGCUAGGAGGGCAGAUGCCUGCUCAGUAAGAGAACAAAACCACAGAGGAGGGCAGAAGGUGGAAAGGAGAGUGGCGUAACUAGUGGCUUCCCUCUGAGCCUGUGAGCUGCCUUUAAUCUUUUCCUUUUUUUUUUUUUAUUUUUUGAGAUGGAGUCUUGCUCUGUUGCCCAGGCUGGAGUGCAGUGGGGCAGUCUCGGCUCACUGCAACCUCUGCCUCCCCGGUUCAAGCAGUUCUCCUGUCUCAGCUCCCCGAGUAGCUGGGACUACAGUUGAACGCCACCAUGCCCGGCUAAUUUUUGCAUUUUAGUAGAGACAGGGUUUCACCA
rnacentral:lncRNA from 10 species